AUUUUAAAUCUUCAAAUGUGCUUAUCAGUAUCGGAAGUGCGCUCUGAUUCCUGUAAAGGAAACAUUUUGUGCAUGAUGUAAAAAGCAUCUUCUUAGCUACACAAAACAGUUGGCUAGAGCAGAAGACAACAGCUGACAGUUCUAAGACUUAUUUAUUCACCUGCUGAAAUAAAACAUAACAAUGUGUUUUAAAAAGGUUUAACUGUGCACAUGCUGGGUUAAAAUCUUUACACAACUAGUAUCUUCAGUUGUAUAUAAUAUUGCAUUAUACUGUAUUUUCAACCUGAAUAUAUAAUUAAUAGUUACGACAAUAUUAUUAUUUUGGAAAUAAAAUAAUAACAACUAUGCAUAUACUUGUAUUUUCAUAUAUCACUUGUUAAACAGACGUGGUUUCCAUUACUUGUAUCAACAACCAAACAUUCAUUGAAUUAGAUGAACUUAACAUCUUUGCAUUCACCCAACAAAAUUAUAUUGAGUUCUGUUUAUGUAAAGAAGUGAGCAUUUAUGUUUUCUUGUAUUUUUAUAAAUGUAGCAGAUCUGAGUCUGUGAGUGCACAUUAUGUGUCUGUUCAUCAUCAGUACUAGACUGGAUUAUUAAUCAUGCACAGUGGAAUAUGAAAUGUCUCCUUUUUGCACCAGAGCUUCACACAACGUUUCCAUAGAAUCUGAGGACAGAAUGAAGUGCAAGUCACCGCUGCCUAAGAAACACUCAAACUGCCUGUGAGGAAACAUGUUUCUGUUUAACAGUCACUGACCUUGAGUGGACUGUAUUAUGAAUAUCGCUGCUUUUUUUUUUUUUACCAUUUGACUUAAGUUGUUUAUUUUUGGUGUAUUUAUUUAUUUUGUUUUUUUAAAUUGUGAAACUGCUUCUACUGGUGUCUCUACACAGUAGAUAAAUAUAUACACUGCUCAAACCCAGAAUGCAAGGCCCUCAAAAGGCUCCUCCACCCCUUUUAUUCUCACUUUGUUGUUGUAAAUUUGUUUGUUCUGUGAUUUUCAAUAAACUGGAUACUACACUAUUGACCGGUUAUUUACAUUUUUUUCAUGUAUAAAUAAUUAUGAAUAAUAAUAAUUUAUAUGAACCAGGCUGUUUUUUCAUAGUUCCCCUGUCCUCCAGGUGCACCAACUGUCCUUUCUCUCUCUUCGCCCUGUCUGUGCAAUUGUGGGCAUGACUGGAUAUCAACCAGUCUCUUCCAGCGUGGGUGUGGUCCUUGGACACCAAGCACACCUGUCAUCCACCAAUCAAGCUCCCCCUUAUCGUGACAGUAUGUAAACCUUUUCUACCUAAAUGCCUUUUGCCUAACCAUCCGCUCAAAGUCUCGGUGGUUUAACUAUCAGCUUAUUCACUUGCUU
ensembl:lncRNA